ACUCCCAGCAUAAAUCCAAAAAAUAACAGCAAACUGUUGAACCCAAAACUAUUAAAUCCAGCCAUCCAGAAACGCCUCUUAAACUCCACAGGAAAAUGACUCCAACAUGGGACUUGUGAAAAAGUUUGGUGUUUAUUUUCGUGCCGUCAAAUUGCCGGGACAGCUUUAACCCAUGGUGGCGAUUGUAUAUUGUGGAAAAUGUACAAGUAAUUUUUAAUAGACUUGCAGCGCUAGGACGCAUAAUAUGGCCAACUUUACGGAGCACACAAGAGGUAAGCGUUUUUCCAUCUCAUUGCUGAGAGUGCUGCAACAUUUCAACGGAUGUUCUGCUGCACAACUGAGGUUGAAUGGCAUCCAUCACCGAAGAAGUUAAGACAAACCACCUACGACAUCUCGUCUCCAUAUAUCUCCCGCCAAUUCGUUUCCCCUUUGUCAGUUGACAAUUUUCAAAUGAAGCAAUUGCUCUUUUAGGUGAAAAAUAUAUCACGGUACUAUAUAACGCCCAGAAGUGUGUGGAUCUGCACCCCAUUCAGCCAACCUCAACCGCAACAAAGACUACCUUCCCCCCCACCGUUUCCCCCUGUGCACCCCCGCCCCCCAGAACCCGAAGUCUGCUUAAGGUCAAAUGACAGUUGUAGUUGGUUGAGGUUGUUGGCGGCUGGCUGCUACUGCCGUUCGCCAUUGGCCCGGUGUAAAUUAUAACGCGCAUUGUGAAGCUGCCAGUAACAGAUCCAAUUCUCCGCCAAUCUACACUGGGAAACAGGAAACAAACAGUGGAUGAAAACAUUUUCUUUAAUUUUUACUCUUUUUGUUUUUAUUGAAUUGUAUUAACUAGGAAUGGAUAGCUGGCCCUUUGCUUAUAAUAAACUUAUUUUAUAAAGGA